rnacentral:rRNA from 1 species
UACGUAGGGUGCAAGCGUUAAUCGGAAUUACUGGGCGUAAAUCGUGCGCAGGCGGUUUGGUAAGACAGAUGUGAAAUCCCCGGGCUUAACCUGGGAAUUGCAUUUGUGACUGCCCGGCUAGAGUGUGUCAGAGGGGGGUAGAAUUCCACGUGUAGCAGUGAAAUGCGUAGAUAUGUGGAGGAAUACCGAUGGCGAAGGCAGCCCCCUGGGAUAACACUGACGCUCAUGCACGAAAGCGUGGGGAGCAAACAGG